rnacentral:rRNA from 1 species
AAAGACGGUCUUGCUGUCACUUAUAGAUGGAUCCGCGCUGCAUUAGCUAGUUGGUAAGGUAACGGCUUACCAAGGCAACGAUGCAUAGCCGACCUGAGAGGGUGAUCGGCCACACUGGAACUGAGACACGGUCCAGACUCCUACGGGAGGCAGCAGUAGGGAAUCUUCCGCAAUGGGCGAAAGCCUGACGGAGCAACGCCGCGUGAGUGAUGAAGGUCUUCGGAUCGUAAAACUCUGUUAUUAGGGAAGAACAUAUGUGUAAGUAACUGUGCACAUCUUGACGGUACCUAAUCAGAAAGCCACGGCUAACUACGUGCCAGCAGCCGCGGUAAUACGUAGGUGGCAAGCGUUAUCCGGAAUUAUUGGGCGUAAAGCGCGCGUAGGCGGUUUUUUAAGUCUGAUGUGAAAGCCCACGGCUCAACCGUGGAGGGUCAUUGGAAACUGGAAAACUUGAGUGCAGAAGAGGAAAGUGGAAUUCCAUGUGUAGCGGUGAAAUGCGCAGAGAUAUGGAGGAACACCAGUGGCGAAGGCGACUUUCUGGUCUGUAACUGACGCUGAUGUGCGAAAGCGUGGGGAUCAAACAGGAUUAGAUACCCUGGUAGUCCACGCCGUAAACGAUGAGUGCUAAGUGUUAGGGGGUUUCCGCCCCUUAGUGCUGCAGCUAACGCAUUAAGCACUCCGCCUGGGGAGUACGACCGCAAGGUUGAAACUCAAAGGAAUUGACGGGGACCCGCACAAGCGGUGGAGCAUGUGGUUUAAUUCGAAGCAACGCGAAGAACCUUACCAAAUCUUGACAUCCUUUGACAACUCUAGAGAUAGAGCCUUCCCCUUCGGGGGACAAAGUGACAGGUGGUGCAUGGUUGUCGUCAGCUCGUGUCGUGAGAUGUUGGGUUAAGUCCCGCAACGAGCGCAACCCUUAAGCUUAGUUGCCAUCAUUAAGUUGGGCACUCUAAGUUGACUGCCGGUGACAAACCGGAGGAAGGUGGGGAUGACGUCAAAUCAUCAUGCCCCUUAUGAUUUGGGCUACACACGUGCUACAAUGGACAAUACAAAGGGCAGCGAAACCGCGAGGUCAAGCAAAUCCCAUAAAGUUGUUCUCAGUUCGGAUUGUAGUCUGCAACUCGACUACAUGAAGCUGGAAUCGCUAGUAAUCGUAGAUCAGCAUGCUACGGUGAAUACGUUCCCGGGUCUUGUACACACCGCCCGUCACACCACGAGAGUUUGUAACACCCGAAGCCGGUGGAGUAACCUUUUAGGAGCUAGCCGUCGAAGGUGGGACAAAUGAUUGGGGUGAAGUCGUAACAAGGUAGCCGUAUCGGAAGGUGCGGCUGGAUCACCUCCUUU